rnacentral:rRNA from 1 species
CUUGGUCAUUUAGAGGAAGUAAAAGCCGUAACAAGGUUUCCGUAGGUGAACCUGCGGAAGGAUCAUUACCUAGAGUUGUAGGCUUUGCCUGCUAUCUCUUACCCAUGUCUUUUGAGUGC